rnacentral:rRNA from 1 species
GACGAACGCUGGCGGCGUGCUUAACACAUGCAAGUCGAACGGGCCCGCCCCUGUUUUUGGGGGUGGGUUGAGUGGCGAACGGGUGAGUAUCACGUGAGUAACCUGCCCCCUGCUCCUGGAUAACUGCUUGAAAGGGCGGCUAAUACGGGGUGUGCCGGCUGGUCCGCAUGGGCCUGGUCGGGAUAGUUUCAUCUUCGGGUGUUUCGGUGGGGGAUGGGCUCGCGGCCUAUCAGCUUGUUGGUGGGGUGAUGGCCCACCAAGGCGGUGACGGGUAGCCGGCAUGAGAGGGUGGGCGGCCACACUGGGACUGAGACACGGCCCAGACUCCUGCGGGAGGCAGCAGUGGGGGUAUUGCACAAUGGGCGGAAGCCUGAAGCAGCGACGUCGCGUGAGGGAUGGAGGCCUUCGGGUUGUGAACCUCUUUCUCCGGUGGUGAAGGCCCUGUCCGUUGCGGCGGGGUUGACGGUAGCCGGGUAUGAAGCGCCGGCUAACUACGUG